CAGCCGCCGCGGUAAUACGUAGGGUGCGAGCGUUCAUCGGAUUUACUGGGCGUAAAGCGUGCGCAGGCGGCCCGUUAAGACAGGUGUGAAAUCCCUGGGCUCAACCUAGGAAUUGCGCUUGUGACUGGCGGGCUCGAGUACGGUAGAGGGGGGUGGAAUUCCUGGUGUAGCAGUGAAAUGCGUAGAGAUCAGGAGGAACACCGAUGGCGAAGGCAGCCCCCUGGGCCUGUACUGACGCUCAUGCACGAAAGCGUGGGGAGCAAACAGGAUUAGAUACCCUGGUAGUCCACGCCCUAAACGAUGGGUACUAGCCGUUUGGUGCGCGAGAGCGCUGAGUGGCGAAGCUAACGCGUGAAGUACCCCGCCUGGGGAGUACGGCCGCAAGGUUGAAACUUAAAGGAAUUGGCGGG
rnacentral:rRNA from 1 species